GCCUUUUCAGUUGAGGACAGCGCUGGUCAUCGGAACAUGUCAGGCGGCUCCGCGGAUUAUAGCAGAGACCAUGGCGGCCCCGAGGGAAUGGAGCCCGAUGGUGUCAUUGAGAGCAAUUGGAAUGAGAUUGUCGACAAUUUUGAUGAUAUGAAUUUAAAAGAAUCCCUUCUAAGGGGCAUUUAUGCUUAUGGUUUUGAAAAGCCUUCGGCUAUUCAGCAGAGAGCUAUUAUUCCAUGUAUCAAAGGGUAUGAUGUGAUUGCUCAAGCUCAGUCAGGUACUGGCAAGACAGCCACAUUUGCUAUUUCCAUCCUGCAGCAGUUGGAGAUUGAUCUCAAGGAGACCCAAGCACUAGUAUUGGCCCCUACCAGAGAACUGGCUCAACAGAUUCAAAAGGUAAUUCUGGCCCUUGGAGAUUACAUGGGAGCAACAUGCCAUGCUUGCAUUGGUGGCACAAAUGUUCGCAAUGAAAUGCAGAAACUUCAGGCUGAAGCUCCACACAUUGUGGUUGGAACUCCGGGCCGUGUGUUUGAUAUGUUAAACAGACGCUACCUUUCACCUAAAUGGAUCAAAAUGUUUGUUCUGGAUGAAGCUGAUGAAAUGUUGAGCCGAGGAUUUAAGGAUCAAAUCUAUGAGAUCUUUCAAAAAUUAAGCACUAACAUUCAGGUUGUGCUGCUAUCAGCUACAAUGCCAAUGGAUGUGUUGGAAGUGACCAAAAAGUUCAUGAGGGAGCCCAUCCGGAUUCUAGUGAAGAAGGAAGAACUGACUCUGGAGGGUAUCAAGCAGUUCUACAUUAAUGUUGAAAGAGAGGAAUGGAAGCUGGAUACUCUCUGCGAUUUGUAUGAGACACUGACCAUUACUCAGGCUGUUAUCUUUCUGAAUACAAGGAGAAAAGUGGACUGGCUUACAGAAAAAAUGCAUGCCAGGGACUUCACAGUCUCAGCUCUGCAUGGUGACAUGGACCAGAAGGAGCGGGAUGUUAUCAUGAGAGAGUUUAGAUCAGGAUCAAGCCGUGUCUUGAUCACUACUGACUUGCUGGCUCGUGGCAUUGAUGUGCAGCAAGUUUCUUUGGUUAUAAAUUAUGACCUGCCGACCAAUCGUGAAAAUUACAUUCACAGGAGUCGAUAGCAGCAGUUGAUGACACAGGAUGGUGCUCAGAAACGGCGUUGACGUAAUUUAGGACGUGGAUUCGUAAGCGGCACAGUUUGAAUAAAGAGCGAGUCGAAUUGGCCGAGGCGGUCGUUUUGGCAGGAAGGGUGUGGCUAUAAACUUUGUCACUGAAGAGGACAAGAGGAUUCUGCGUGAUAUUGAGACAUUCUACAAUACUACAGUGGAGGAGAUGCCAAUGAAUGUGGCUGAUCUCAUUUAAUCCCUGGAGAGGAGAUGGUUUGAAUGCAGUGCUCGCUGUUGCUGAAUAGGCGAUUCACUUGCAUUGUGCUUCUUUCUUUGGGGAUAUAUUGAAUCUUGUCUCAAUGCUCAUAACGGAUCAGAAAUACAGAUUUUUGAUAAGCGAAGCGACUUUUUGUCGUGAGCUCUUGUGGGGAAAGCCAUUGGCUUUAUCCACUUUAGGGUUAGACUGUUGGGGUUGGGUGGAAAGUCAUGGGGUCUGUAAAUUUUUUCUUUAUUAGAAAUUUAUUUCCUAGUUCCAUAGAAGUGGUUGUAUUAGAUGUUCUUUAUCAUUUAAUAAUUUACUUAUGGACUAAAAGAUAUAAGUGCUGUAUAAAAUCAGCCAAUUAUGUUAAACUAGCCUACCUUCCUUUAUUGUAUGUACUUACCCUUCAGAUUGAAUUGGAAAGGCCUUUCAAAAUCUCAAAACUUUUAUAAGAGCAUUAAAAUGCAUUUUUGUUUGAUAUGUAUUUAUUCAAUAAAGUAUUUAAUUAGUGGUAAGUGUGAUCUGGACCCUGUUGCUAAGCCCCAGCAAGCAAGCAAUCAUACUAUUGUCUUAGUUAGGGUUAAACCCAGUAAAAUUUGCCAUAUUGCACAUGUCUUAAUGAAGUUUGAAUGUUCAAUAAAAUACUUCUAUAUUCACUUA